CACACGACCGUACCGCAAACCGACACUGGUGCGCGAGAUGAGUAUUCUAAGGCGCUUGAGAGAACUCAGGAGAAGGAACUCGGCAAAUUGACACCGUAACUUCGGAAGAAGGUGUGCCUUUAGUAGGUGAAGUCCCUCGCGGAUGGAGCUGAGAAAGGUUGCAAAAAAUCGGUGGCUGCGACUGUUUAUUAAAAACACAGCACUCUGCAAACACGAAAGUGGACGUAUAGGGUGUGACGCCUGCCCGGUGCUGGAAGAUUAAAUGAUGGGGUGCAAGCUCUUGAUUGAAGUCCCAGUAAACGGCGGCCGUAACUAUAACGGUCCUAAGGUAGCGAAAUUCCUUGUCGGGUAAGUUCCGACCUGCACGAAUGGCGUAACGAUGGCCACACUGUCUCCUCCUGAGACUCAGCGAAGUUGAAAUGUUUGUGAUGAUGCAAUCUCCCCGCGGAAAGACGGAAAGACCCCAUGAACCUUUACUGUAGCUUUGUAUUGGACUUUGAACAGAUCUGUGUAGGAUAGGUGGGAGGCUUUGAAGCGGUGCCGCUAGGUAUCGUGGAGUCAACGUUGAAAUACCACCCUGGUGUGUUUGAGGUUCUAACCUAGGUCCAUUAUCUGGAUCGGGGACAGUGCAUGGUAGGCAGUUUGACUGGGGCGGUCUCCUCCCAAAGCGUAACGGAGGAGUUCGAAGGUACGCUAGUUACGGUCGGACAUCGUGACGAUAGUGCAAUGGCAUAAGCGUGCUUAACUGCGAGACUGACAAGUCGAGCAGAUGCGAAAGCAGGACAUAGUGAUCCGGUGGUUCUGUAUGGAAGGGCCAUCGCUCAACGGAUAAAAGGUACUCUGCGGAUAACAGGCUGAUACCGCCCAAGAGUUCGUAUCGACGGCGGUGUUUGGCACCUCGAUGUCAGCUCAUCUCAUCCUGGGGCUGUAGCCGGUCCCAAGGGUAUGGCUGUUCGCCAUUUAAAGAGGUACGUGAGCUGGGUUUAAAACGUCGUGAGACAGUUUGGUCCCUAUCUUCCGUGGGCGCUGCAGAUUUGAGGAAGCCUGCUCCUAGUACGAGAGGACCGGAGUGGACACACCUCUGGUGUAUCGGUUGUCACGCCAGUGACAUUGCCGAGUAGCUAUGUGUGGAAGAGAUAACCGCUGAAAGCAUCUAAGCGGGAAACUCGUUUCAAGAUGAGAUCUGCCGGGGCCUUGAGCCCCCUAAAGAGUCGUUCAAGACCAGGACGUUGAUAGGUCAGGUGUGGAAGCGCAGUAAUGCGUUAAGCUAACUGAUACUAAUUGCUCGUGCGGCUUGACCAA
rnacentral:rRNA from 1 species